UUUCCGUAGGUGAACCUGCGGAAGGAUCAUUAGAGAACGCCCUAGCGGGCUUAUAACUAUUCAAAACCCCUGUGAACCGUGCCCUUCGGGGCUAUUUUACAAACACUGUGUAAUGAACGUCAUAUAUCAUAACAAAAAAAAACUUUCAACAACGGAUCUCUUGGCUCUC
rnacentral:misc_RNA from 1 species